rnacentral:rRNA from 1 species
CCUUGUACACACCGCCCGUCAAGUCAUGGGAGUUGGGAGUACCCGAAGUCCGCUUAGCUAACCGCAAGGAGGCGGCGGCCGACGGUAAGCCCGAUGACUGGGACU